UACGGAGGGGGCGAGUGUUGUUCGGAAUUACUGGGCGUAAAGGGCGCGCAGGCGGCUUGGCAAGUCGAGUGUGAAAUACCUCAGCUUAACUGAGGAAUGGCGCUCGAAACUACCUCGCUAGAGGGCGGGAGAGGGAAGUGGAACUCUCGGUGUAGGGGUGAAAUCUGUAGAUAUCGAGAGGAACACCGGUGGCGAAGGCGGCUUCCUGGCCCGUACCUGACGCUGAGGCGCGAAAGCGUGGGUAGCAAACAGG
rnacentral:rRNA from 1 species